rnacentral:rRNA from 1 species
UACGUAGGGUGCAAGCGUUGUCCGGAAUUAUUGGGCGUAAAGAGCUCGUAGGCGGUCUGUCGCGUCGGCUGUGAAAACCUGCGGCUCAACUGCGGGCUUGCGGUCGAUACGGGCAGGCUCGAGUUCGGUAGGGGAGACUGGAAUUCCUGGUGUAGCGGUGAAAUGCGCAGAUAUCAGGAGGAACACCGGUGGCGAAGGCGGGUCUCUGGGCCGAUACUGACGCUGAGGAGCGAAAGCGUGGGGAGCGAACAGG